GCAGGCCUAACACAUGCAAGUCGAACGGUAACAGGAAACAGCUUGCUGUUUCGCUGACGAGUGGCGGACGGGUGAGUAAUGUCUGGGAAACUGCCUGAUGGAGGGGGAUAACUGCUGGAAACGGUAGCUAAUACCGCAUAACGUCGCAAGACCAAAGAGGGGGACCUUCGGGCCUCUUGCCAUCGGAUGUGCCCAGAUGGGAUUAGCUAGUAGGUGGGGUAACGGCUCACCUAGGCGACGAUCCCUAGCUGGUCUGAGAGGAUGACCAGCCACACUGGAACUGAGACACGGUCCAGACUCCUACGGGAGGCAGCAGUGGGGAAUAUUGCACAAUGGGCGCAAGCCUGAUGCAGCCAUGCCGCGUGUAUGAAGAAGGCCUUCGGGUUGUAAAGUACUUUCAGCGGGGAGGAAGGGAGUAAAGUUAAUACCUUUGCUCAUUGACGUUACCCGCAGAAGAAGCACCGGCUAACUCCGUGCCAGCAGCCGCGGUAAUACGGAGGGUGCAAGCGUUAAUCGGAAUUACUGGGCGUAAAGCGCACGCAGGCGGUUUGUUAAGUCAGAUGUGAAAUCCCCGGGCUCAACCUGGGAACUGCAUCUGAUACUGGCAAGCUUGAGUCUCGUAGAGGGGGGUAGAAUUCCAGGUGUAGCGGUGAAAUGCGUAGAGAUCUGGAGGAAUACCGGUGGCGAAGGCGGCCCCCUGGACGAAGACUGACGCUCAGGU
rnacentral:rRNA from 1 species